UGUUGAGGAAGAUAAUGACGGUACUCAACAAGGAAGUGACGGCUAACUACGUGCCAGCAGCCGCGGUAAAACGUAGGUCACAAGCGUUGUCCGGAAUUACUGGGUGUAAAGGGAGCGCAGGCGGGAAGACAAGUUGGAAGUGAAAUCCAUGGGCUCAACCCAUGAACUGCUUUCAAAACUGUUUUUCUUGAGUAGUGCAGAGGUAGGCGGAAUUCCCGGUGUAGCGGUGGAAUGCGUAGAUAUCGGGAGGAACACCAGUGGCGAAGGCGGCCUACUGGGCACCAACUGACGCUGAGGCUCGAAAGUGUGGGUAGCAAACAGGAUUAGAUACCCUGGUAGUCCACACUGUAAACGAUGAUUACUAGGUGUUGGAGGAUUGACCCCUUCAGUGCCGCAGUUAACACAAUAAGUAAUCCACCUGGGGAGUACGACCGCAAGGUUGAAACUCAAAGGAAUUGACGGGGGCCCGCACAAGCAGUGGAGUAUGUGGUUUAAUUCGACGCAACGCGAAGAACCUUACCAAGUCUUGACAUCCUGCGACGCACAUAGAAAUAUGUGUUUCCUUCGGGACGCAGAGACAGGUGGUGCAUGGUUGUCGUCAGCUCGUGUCGUGAGAUGUUGGGUUAAGUCCCGCAACGAGCGCAACCCUUAUGGUCAGUUACUACGCAAGAGGACUCUGGCCGGACUGCG
rnacentral:rRNA from 1 species